UUAAUGAGAGUUUGAUCCUGGCUCAGGACGAACGCUGGCGGCGUGCCUAAUACAUGCAAGUAGAACGCUGAUGUUUGGUGUUUACACUAGACUGAUGAGUUGCGAACGGGUGAGUAACGCGUAGGUAACCUGCCUCAUAGCGGGGGAUAACUAUUGGAAACGAUAGCUAAUACCGCAUAAGAGUGAUUAACACAUGUUAGUUAUUUAAAAGGAGCAAUUGCUUCACUGUGAGAUGGACCUGCGUUGUAUUAGCUAGUUGGUGAGGUAAAGGCUCACC
rnacentral:rRNA from 1 species